rnacentral:rRNA from 1 species
GCAAGUCGAGCGGAAACGACACUAACAAUACUUCGGGAGCGUUAAUGGGCGUCGAGCGGCGGACGGGUGAGUAAUGCCUAGGAAAUUGCCUUGAUGUGGGGGAUAACCAUUGGAAACGAUGGCUAAUACCGCAUAAUGCCUACGGGCCAAAGAGGGGGACCUUCGGGCCUCUCGCGUCAAGAUAUGCCUAGGUGGGAUUAGCUAGUUGGUGAGGUAAUGGCUCACCAAGGCGACGAUCCCUAGCUGGUCUGAGAGGAUGAUC